rnacentral:rRNA from 1 species
UACAGAGGGGGCAAGCGUUAAUCGGAAUUACUGGGCGUAAAGCGUGCGUAGACGGUUAUUUAAGUCGGGUGUGAAAGCCCCGGGCUUAACCUGGGAAUGGCAUUUGAGACUGCAUAGCUAGGGUGCGGAAGAGGGAAGCGGAAUUUCCGGUGUAGCGGUGAAAUGCGUAGAUAUCGGAAGGAACACCAGUGGCGAAAGCGGCUUCCUGGUCCAGCACCGACGUUCAGGCACGAAAGCGUGGGGAGCAAACAGG